rnacentral:rRNA from 1 species
UACGGGGGGGGCAAGCGUUGUUCGGAAUUACUGGGCGUAAAGGGCUCGUAGGCGGCCAACUAAGUCAGACGUGAAAUCCCUCGGCUUAACCGGGGAACUGCGUCUGAUACUGGAUGGCUUGAGUUUGGGAGAGGGAUGCGGAAUUCCAGGUGUAGCGGUGAAAUGCGUAGAUAUCUGGAGGAACACCGGUGGCGAAGGCGACGUGCUGGACCUUCUCUGACGCUGAGGCGCGAAAGCUAGGGGAGCGAACGGG